CCGCCUCCAUGUUCCUUAAUUUGUGAGAGCCUGUCGUUCACUGACACUUUCUCCAUGGAACGGGAAGGCAUAUCACCCAAAGUCACCAUUCAUAGUUCACAUCAUUGCCUAACGAGUGAUGUGUCUCCGCCAGGUGUCUCAUUU
ensembl:snoRNA Y23H5B.10 ncRNA